AAAAUUAUUCUGAAGUUUGUUGAAGUCUGGGUAAAAAUGAAAUUGGAAAGAAAACAAAAACAAGUUGAGGGAGUGAACCAGGAGCAAUGUUUUACUUGAAACUGUUACUUCGUAUCUGGUUACUGAACUAAGAACAUGUUAAUUCGUGUUUUCGUCUUAUAUGUUGAAGUGUUCAGAUUUCUAUACUAAGGACUGAAAAGCUGACGAAUGGUAAAUAUUGGUCAUGAAGUAUUUUGAAGAAAACUUUGAAUUAUUGAUUGUGAUCGGAUGAAUCAAUUUUUGGUUGUGAAUUUUUGCAAUGCCCAAAAACAUGUUGUGUGGUAAGUCAUGAACACGUUCAAAAUAAAUUAUUAUUGCUUCUAUAUUUUCAAUGCAAUCUGGGAGUGAGGGCUAAACUUGUAACGGAAAAAUAAACCGAAAAAAUAAAAUUUUACAUAGCGAUUUUAAGUGAGUACAAUUCUUUGUAAUGCCAAAUAUGGUGCAAGUGGUUGUGAUAUCAGAAACAAAUUUUGGGGUGCAUGUGGCUCAAUGUAACCCGCUGUAACGUAAAGGAACUAGACUGAUGGGUGAAAAAACCCAAAUGUGUGGUUCAAAGGAAAAUAGAGAAUGGAAAGUUAUAAAAACAAGCUUAUUUAUAGCAAUACUAAUACUUGUCAGAUGUGACUGUAAUGAAUGUUUUUCGUUGGAAGUGUGAAAUUUAUUUUCCGUUAAAUGUGAAAUUUGAAUAAUCAAUGUCUCGAGUUUCAGUGUUUUUCCAGUUGUCGGUUAUGACUAAAAUGAAUGCGAAGAAUGGAGUCACCUUGGUCAUCUGUAAAAAUGGACCUCAAGAAAUAUGUGUCUACAAAUGUUACCGAAAAAUACUACUGAAAGGACAUCUUACAUGAGUUUUUGGUGUUUGGGAAUUCUUAUGAGGCAAGUAAAAGAGUAAAUAUGGAGGAAGACAAAGGUUGAGUACCCUAGAGAGUCGAGAUUUUAAGCCAUUGGCACUGGUUCUGGACAGAUAAACAACAGUGAGCGGAUGGACUUGUAUGACUUUGUUUGAAUACCGAAAUGAACGUAAUGAAACUGAAAUCUUUAAUCAUAAAGUGGAUGUUGGAGUUUGUAUUUGACGAAUGGACAAGCGUAAAAUUUGGAGGAAGAAACAAUCGUAACGUAUAACAAAGUUAUGAUGCGUUUGAAUGCUGUUUUUCUGUUUACGAAUUCAUUCAAUUUUUGCAAAGGACUUUGAAAUGUGG